rnacentral:rRNA from 1 species
CCUACGUGCGGCAGCAGUGAGGAAUAUUGGUCAAUGGACGAGAGUCUGAACCAGCCAAGUAGCGUGAAGGAUGACUGCCCUAUGGGUUGUAAACUUCUUUUAUAAAGGAAUAAAACGAGGCACGUGUGCCUUUUUGCAUGUACUUUAUGAAUAAGGAUCGGCUAACUCCGUGCCAGUAGCCGCGGUAAUGCGGAGGAUCCGAGCGUUAUCCGGAUUUAUUGGGUUUAAAGGGAGCGUAGAUGGGUUGUUAAGUCAGUUGUGAAAGUUUGCGGCUCAACCGUAAAAUUGCAAUUGAUACUGGCAGUCUUGAGUACAGUUGAGGUAGGCGGAAUUCGUGGUGUAGCGGUGAAAUGCUUAGAUAUCACGAAGAACUCCGAUUGCGAAGGCAGCUUACUAAACUGCCACUGACAUUGAUGCUCGAAAGUGUGGGUAUCAAACAGGAUUAGAUACCCCAGUAGUC